CCAAAAAAAAAAUAUCAACAAUUUAUUAAUUAAUUUAAUUUAUCUUUUUAUGUCAUUUGAUUUCUAGUUUCAACUAUUCAAUUCAACUUUCAUCUAGACAAGUUUCUCUUAUUGGUCUUUGAAUGGCCAAUUUACUGUCUCCAGUGUACACAGAACCUCUCAAACUGCAUAACCCAUCACAGAAAUUUUGUUCCAGAAGCUCAUGGGGGAUGCUUCCAAAAACUGCAACCCACAUGAACUCUGUGACACACAAUGGCAAACGAAGAGGGUGUGGCAGGGUAAGAGUUGCUGCUGAGGAAAAAUCGUUUUCAACCAGUGACACUGUUGCAGAUGACUACUAUGCAGUUCUGGGUCUGCUUCCAGAUGCCACUCCUGCUCAGAUCAAGAAGGCCUACUACAAUUGCAUGAAAGCUUGCCAUCCAGAUUUGAGUGGCAAUGAUCCUGAGACAACUAACUUCUGCACGUUCAUCAAUGAAGUGUAUGGGGUGCUCAGUGAUCCCAUUCAGCGCAUGAUUUAUGAUGAAAUUCAUGGGUAUUCUUUGACUUCCAUUAACCCUUUUCUGGAUGAGUCUAGUCCAAAGGAUCAUGUUUUUGUUGAUGAAUUCAGCUGCAUAGGCUGCAAAAAUUGUGCCAAUGUGGCCUGUGAUGUGUUUGGAAUAGAGGAAGAAUUUGGGAGAGCCAGAGUGUACAGCCAAAGCGGGAAACCUGACAUAGUUCAACAGGCUAUUGAUAGUUGCCCUGUUGACUGCAUUCAUUGGACAUCAGCUGCACAACUAUCAUUGCUUGAAGACGAAAUGCGCCGUGUAGAAAGAGUCAAUGAAUGGGAUCAGCAUCAACUGAUGUUUUCAGAAUGGCAAGUUCGCGAUGGGAAAAGAGGCAGGCAAAAGUCCUGGAACAAGCAAAAUUGAGAAUGAUGAAGGAGAAAGGUUCUGAUAAAGCAGAUAUGUUCUGGAACAAUGUUUGGGGAAAAGAAAAAGACUUGAGUUCAGAGGAGGAAAUCAAAGAAAGAGCAAAGAGGGCUGCUGCUGCUGCUAGAAGAUGGAGAGAAUACUCAAGAAGGGGUGUUGAUAAGCCUCCCACAUUCAAACUUCCAGAGGCAGCUUCCACCAAGGACUAGUGACCAUUAUUUUCCUUAUACCAUCCAUUCCCAUGUAAUUAAUUCAUCCAUAGCAUCUCAAUGAAUCUAAUGAGUUUAAUUCCCAUUUAACAAUCCCUCAUUGUAUAUGCUGCAACACUAAUUAAAGUAAAAUUAAUACUA